UGGGAAGCCUCUGAGUCAGGAGUUCCCUGUGUUUCUCCUUUACUAGCAAAGUAAUAACACUUCUAUUUCCUUUUUCUCAAAACGGUGUCUUCAUUAUUGGAUUGGUAUCAGGACCACUGACUGAGCUUUCAGUAUCAAAUUUUUACCCCAGAUGGGACCCAAAGCUCCCUAUGCUCCAGGUUUCUUGGGCAAGCCUUGAACUUCAAGCAAUCCCACUUCCAUGCUUAGGAUGUAAGGCAAACUUGUUGAAAGCUGACUGCUGGAGUUAUGAGACACAUGAAUUUGCCUCAGGAAUAUCUGGCUCCUCUUCAUGAGUACAUCUGUGGUAUUGCUGGUGUAGGAGUCAUGGGUAAAUGGAUGGAGCUGGAGAAUAUCAUGCUAAGAAGAUAAGCGAAUGCCAGAAAAUUGAAGGCCAAAAGUUUUCUCUGAUAUGUGGAUGUUGAUCCAUAAGGUGGGAGGCAAGGAAGA